CCUACGGGUGGCUGCAGUGGGGAAUAUUGGACAAUGGGCGAAAGCCUGAUCCAGCAAUGCCGCGUGAGUGAUGAAGGCCCUAGGGUUGUAAAGCUCUUUUACCCGGGAUGAUAAUGACAGUACCGGGAGAAUAAGCUCCGGCUAACUUCGUGCCAGCAGCCGCGGUAAUACGAGGGGAGCUAGCGUUGUUCGGAAUUACUGGGCGUAAAGCGCGCGUAGGCGGUUUUUUAAGUCAGAGGUGAAAGCCCGGGGCUCAACCCCGGAAUAGCCUUUGAAACUGGAAAACUAGAAUCUUGGAGAGGUCAGUGGAAUUCCGAGUGUAGAGGUGAAAUUCGUAGAUAUUCGGAAGAACACCAGUGGCGAAGGCGACUGACUGACAAGUAUUGACGCUGAGGUGCGAAAGCGUGGGGAGCAAACAGGAUUAGAUACCCUUGUAGUC
rnacentral:rRNA from 1 species